UUCUUCUUUCAUUAUUUUAUCUUUUUAUCAUAUUCUUGAGUAGCUUUUCCUCCUUUUUAUCUUUUAUCUUUUUUGCUUUUUUCCAUUACUCUUUUUUGUUAAUGGAGUUAUGUGACAAACUUUGAUGGUAACAUGUGCAAGACACUGAAUAUUUUAUAUGUCUUGGAAUUAUUAUAUGAAUACAUAAAUAGAAACUUUAAUUUGAUCUCAACAGAUAAUUAAACACUGUAACUUUAAAUAAGCAUACCUAGACACCUUAAUUCAUCUUUGUUG
rnacentral:lncRNA from 1 species